CCCAGACUCCUACGGGAGGCAGCAGUGAGGAAUAUUGGUCAAUGGGCGGAAGCCUGAACCAGCCAAGUCGCGUGAGGGAAGAAGGCCCUGCGGGUCGCAGACCUCUUUGGACGGGGAGCAAGGCCGCCGACGUGUCGGCGGAAGGAGAGUACCCGUAGAACAAGCAUCGGCUAACUCCGUGCCAGCAGCCGCGGUAAUACGGAGGAUGCGAGCGUUAUCCGGAUUUAUUGGGUGUAAAGGGCGUGUAGCCGGGCCGGCAAGUCAGAUGUGAAAUCCCAAGGCUCAACCUUGGAACUGCAUUUGAAGCUGUUGGUCUUGAGUAUCGGAGAGGCAGGCGGAAUUCCUAGUGUAGCGGUGAAAUGCGUAGAUAUUAGGAGGAACACCAGUGGCGAAGGCGGCCUGCUGGACGACAACUGACGGUGAGGCGCGAAAGCGUGGGGAGCAAACAGGAUUAGAUACCCGGGUAAG
rnacentral:rRNA from 1 species